UUUCAUGCCAAGAGGGUUGCUGAAGUUUAGUUCGUCCAGCAGAAGCACAGACAGGAGUUGAUUGAUCUUUGAAACCAGUGAAGCUAUAGAUGGGGAAAGAGCCCAUUGCCUCUUAAGUAUCUCUGAUUCCCAAUGGUAGAAGAGGUAAUUGAAGUGGCUAACUGCAGAACAGAUGUUCUGUUCUGGUUUACUUUGGAUUCAAAACAAUGGAAAAUAAUGGUAAUCAUGUAAUCUACAUAACUAAGGACUGAAGAACCUGCUACUCUAAAUUGUUACAAAGAUAACCAUGGGGUGAAAAUUGUAGGAACUGAUGUGAAAAUCUCAGCAGCAGAGACAAGGCAAAUAAUUUGCAUGAAGACCAAAUAAAGGCUGGCAUUUUAUAGCCCUAUAUGUUUUGGAUGAUUACUCCCAUAUUCCUAAACUGCUGAUCCUGCUGACUGAGGAUGAGGGGCGGUGUUGUCCAAAAUUUUGGGAAAGUGCCGAAGUUUUCAUACCAAAAUAAACACCACAGCAUCGGAGAAAGAUCUCGAUGGGCCCGUUCUAACAUAGUCGUUUGGAUAUAAGAAAUGUUAAGACAAGCUACAAGUCAUGAUCACUUAGGAACUGUAGUAUACAUGAAAAACAAAGAACUGGGGUGAGAGAACAAGGCACAAUCCACUGGGAAUUGGAUCCACCAUCCUACAAAAGGACUACUAGAAUAUCUGAUGCUUGUGUCUGGACUAGAAGUGAGUGGACUGCAUCUGGAAAGGCAAUGGAAGAAAUGCAAACCCUGAGUACCAAGCAAUAAUAUAAGAACCGUAACAGAUGAAUAGGAGUUAAGCUACAAUUGAGAGCACUAACCAAGCACAAGCCCAGGAGAGGCACCAGUCAAGAUCCAAGGGGUAUCAAAAAGGAGACUCCGCUUUGGUGUGAGGAGGAGAUGGAAGCAGCUCCAAAACUGAGCAAAAAGGGGUUUGGAAAGAGGGCAUCCUUGCGGCCAGAAAGUCCCAGUAAGAAAGAAGACAAGGAAAGAAGGCCCAUCUUUCCAAAGAUUUGGAGAAUUCUCAGAGGACACCUGGUUGCCUGGUCUUCCCCGGACUUCAAAAUACACAGUUAGGGCAGAAAAACAAAGCCCCCACCAUGUCCAAAGAAAGUGAUUAUAGCUGGGAAGGAGGAGUGCUCUCAUUCAUCCUAAAUACUAACAACCUCCCCAAUCCCAUCAAUUCCUAGAUUAUGGAGUGCAAAGGAUGAAACUACUCUGGCCCCAGUGCUUCUCGUCCCUGCACCUGGGCCACUACUGGGAUGAGAUAGGGAGGGGAUUGGCUCCCUCACAGUUAAUACUGUACACUCCCCAUUACUGGAGAGGCUAGGGGAUGUGGGGUGGUGGUGUCUCUCUCUCUCUCUCUCCAGGCCACCCAAAACUUAACAUGUCUUCCACAACUGCUGCCUGUAUUGAGAAUCAAAAGAAGUAAUUCAGUUCUCAAAAUGGUGACAUGAAGAGAGGUUUUCCCAAGCUUCAUAGUGAUUCUUACCUAAGAUCAAUUGGUCAAUCAAAGCAAUCAGCUUUGGAUGUACUCCACCAAAAUAGAAAUCAGGUGCAACAACUGAUGACAUAAUUUAGAGGUCUUCCUUACACUUACUACUUCAUUCAGGUCAGAUACGCAUAGACUGUGGUAUGUUCAACCAGGAGCAUAUGGUAUAGAACAGGGGUGUGAAACUGGCGGCCUGUAGGCUGGAUGCAUCACUCCCACACCAACUCCACGAAUGGGAAAAACGUUGUGAAACAUCACAUGACGGCAACGUGACGCAGCGAGUUUGAUACCCAUGGUAUAGAAGAUGACUGAAGCUAAGCAGAGCCAGAUGAAUGACCUCGAACUCCAGGAAGUUGAAGGAAGAAGCAAUAGCCCUUAGCUUUGCAGCACAAAUAAAGCCACGGAUAGCUGAUCUAGCUAGUUACUACUGUUGGAGGAGCACAAGAGCACAAAGUUUUUCCCUGUUGAAAUCGUGGAGAUGUUCGCUUACUUACAAAAAGGCAGCCAAGCCAGUGACUCCAUGACCUCACAACUAUUUCCUUCAGAAAUGGCAGAAGUUCCAACAGAAUGAUCCAAGAAUGAUCCUUCAUCUAUGCCUGCACCCAUGACUUCCUGGAGAUGAGCUAGAGUUAGCACAUGUAAGGGCAAUCCGACAAGGCUCUUUAUCUCCCCUGUUCUUUGAAAUGCAGGCUGUAGUUAAAUUUUUAAUACUGUACCGAAGUGCACAACGAGUGGGAAAAAGCUGUGUCUUUCUAGGUUGCCUCCUAUCCCUCCCAGACUGAUCAGACACAAAGUCAUUGUCUUACUCAGCAGAUACUAAAACAGACCUCAUGAAAAAAAAAUCAUCUAGGUAAAGAUAAACAUGAAUUUCCCAAUCCCACAGAAACAUCACCCAUGUCAACAGGGAGUGUUUUAGGAACCAACGUCCAGCUGAAGGAGAAAGUAUCCUGAAAACAGUUCUCCAAACAUUUUAACCAGAGGAACUGGUUGGCGAAAGGGGUGGAUUAAAAUAUGCAGACCAGUCUCCUGAAGAUCCAGGGAAGCCAGAAUGUUUUAGCCUAUGAGACAUUCCAUGAUGGAAUCCAAUGACUCCUUACAAAGCCUGCAAUGUUCUAUGUGCUGAUUCUCCCCACUUCAAACCUAGCGGGGUUCUCCUCCUCAUUGCUUCUUCCCGGGAAACACAACUUAAAUAUAAAGUAGCACUUGAGGCUCUUUCUGCAGGAAGAAAUAGUUCACUGGCCUUGAUGGCCAGAAAAAGAUCUAUCACUUCUAGUAUUUGACAAUCCUUCUGAUUUCAAACCUGAGGGAAAGAAAUGAAGAAAUCCCACAGAAAAAUUUGGAACGCAGUGAAAUAUCUCCACUGCAUGUGCGAAGUAUUCAAGAGUCUGAUAUUGUGAGCCAACAAUACUUUUACAAGUAUUACAAUAAAAUCAGGGUUGCUGUCAUUGCUAUUUGUGAGUCCCUUUGCAAAGAUGGGAACACUAGAACCUCUAAAAGGAAGAUGGGAAGGUUAUUGUUUCAGCUGUAUGAGAGCCUAGAUUCAACAGUGACCGUUCAAA